GCCGUCGUAGCUCAGUGGUAGAGCGUUUGUCUUGUAAACAAAAGGUCUCUGGUUCAAUCCCAGACUGCGGCA
rnacentral:tRNA from 1 species